rnacentral:sRNA from 1 species
GACUUGUGGGAGGCGUUUGCCCUUUCGUGAUUUUGCUUUUUGCUUUUUCUUGCUCGUCUCACUGAGGUAUUUUCACAAGGCGACGGACGCAGCCCAGCCGUAUUGUUGUUUCGGAGUGGGAAAGGUAUUCCCUGUAACUCGCUAUAUAAGCAGGAUAGGCCUUGUCUCAGCCUGGUUGGAGAAAGAUGUGCUUUAUUGGCGGACGAGCAGGUUCCCCUCACACAUUGAUGCAUGCUUUUGGAUGGAUGGAUGGAAGAACCGUUCCCCUUUCCACUCUCCAGACAUCCUAUCUUGCUUACGGAGUAGUUACCAUAUUGGAGAGGAGUAGUAAGCUAUGCAUGUCGAGCCUCAAAUGGAAAUCCCGGAAGGAGGCAUGGGUGUUACAGUACUUGUAUGCUUUGGCGAUGGA